rnacentral:rRNA from 1 species
UCUUCCGCAAUGGGCGAAAGCCUGACGGAGCAACGCCGCGUGAUCGAAUGAAGGCCUUCGGGUUGUAAAGAUCUGUUGACAGGGACGAAUAAGCAAUGCGAAUAGUUUUGUGUAUGACGGUACCUGUUUAGAAAGCUACGGCUAACUACGUGCCAGCAGCCGCGGUAAUACGUAGGGAGCAAGAGUUGGCCGGAAUUACUGGGCGUAAAGGGCGCGUAGGUGGGCGCUUAAGUCAAGUGUGAAACCUCCGGGCUCAACCUGGAGACUGCACUUGAAACUGGGUGUCUUGAGGGCAGGAGAGGAAAGUGGAAUUCCUAGUGUAGCGGUGAAAUGCGUAGAUAUUAGGAGGAACACCAGUGGCGAAGGCGACUUUCUGGACUGUACCUGACGCUGAGGCGCGAAAGCGUGGGUAGCGAACGGG